UAACGCGUGGAUAACCUGCCUUGCACUGGGGGAUAACACUUAGAAAUAGGUGCUAAUACCGCAUAAGCGCACAGAGCCGCAUGGCUCAGUGUGAAAAACUCCGGUGGUGUAAGAUGGAUCCGCGUCUGAUUAGCUAGUUGGCGGGGUAGAAGCCCACCAAGGCGACGAUCAGUAGCCGGCCUGAGAGGGUGAACGGCCACAUUGGGACUGAGAUACGGCCCAGACUCCUACGGGAGGCAGCAG
rnacentral:rRNA from 1 species